rnacentral:rRNA from 1 species
AACGAACGCUGGCGGCAGGCCUAACACAUGCAAGUCGAGCGAGGACUUCGGUCCUAGCGGCGGGCGGGUGAGUAACGCGUGGGAACGUGCCCUUUGCUACGGAAUAGCCCCGGGAAACUGGGAGUAAUACCGUAUGUGCCCUUCGGGGGAAAGAUUUAUCGGCAAAGGAUCGGCCCGCGUUGGAUUAGGUAGUUGGUGGGGUAGUGGCCUACCAAGCCGACGAUCCAUAGCUGGUUUGAGAGGAUGAUCAGCCACACUGGGACUGAGACACGGCCCAGACUCCUACGGGAGGCAGCAGUGGGGAAUCUUAGACAAUGGGGGAAACCCUGAUCUAGCCAUGCCGCGUGAGCGAUGAAGGCCUUAGGGUUGUAAAGCUCUUUCAGUGGGGAAGAUAAUGACGGUACCCACAGAAGAAGCCCCGGCUAACUCCGUGCCAGCCGCCGCCGUAAAAC